UUCGGGGAGCCUAUACAGGUGUUGCAUGGCUGUCGUCAGCUCGUGUCGUGAGAUGUUCGGUUAAGUCCGCUAACGAGCGCAACCCUCGUCGUAUGUUAUAUGUGUCAUACGAGACUGCCGGGUAAAAGCCGGAGGAAGGUGAGGAUGAUGUCAAGUCAGCAUGACCUUUAUAUCCAGGGCUACACACACGCUACAAUGGUCUGUACAAUGGGUAGCCAAGCCGCGAGGCGGAGCCAAGUCCUGAAAGCAGGCCUCAGUUCAGAUUGCAGUCUGCAACUCGACUGCAUGAAGCCGGAGUUGCUAGUAACCGCAGGUCAGCAAUACUGCGGUGAAUACGUUCCCGGGUCUU
rnacentral:rRNA from 1 species